GCUGGCAGUCGGACACGCUACGCCAGGAAAUAAUAAAGCCUCAUAUUAGUAUUUCGUUUGGUCUCAGCAUUGAUAUUUUUGAUACUUUUGUGCUUUGUAGAUACGAAAAUGUCAACCAAAAAAGAAGAGACCACCCAGAGACAAAAGAAAAUGCUGGCAACUGAAACUGAGUGUCCAAACCCCGGGAGGGUUCAUUUAAAUGGAUGCACUUGGGAAAUUGCUGCCCCUCUCUUCAUGCCGCCCUAGGCUGCUGCCUAUGUCGCCUACAGGAAGGACCGGCAAUCCCGCCCUCCAAACCCCCCCCAACCAACAGCGGAUCUAGGCACGGAUGAACCGGGCAGCCGCCCGGGGCAGCCGCCCGGUUAAUCCGAACACAUCCUGGUAGUUCAUAUAUGCAGGGGUCUCUAAUGGAGUUACUGUGCUGUGUUUCCUAUCGUGUUGUUGUGGUUUCUCUGUGUGUAGAUGUAGAACCUGUCAUCAAGCUGCAUGUUGGUUUGGUUCUGACCUCAACUGUAUCUGUUUCAUUUUCAAUUUCAUAAUCCUGUUCCCUAAAAGAGGCCUUAUGUCUGUUACCACAAUGCUAUUUUGAGCUCUUAAUUCACUUGUCUGGUCAAAUGGUUACCAAACUUCUAUUGCAUUUUCAAAAACAGCCAUUGAUAUCACACCGGGAAUACGUUUAAGGAUACGUGAGUAUGGUUAAGCAUAUAGAUGUGUAUGAUUAAGGGUAUAGAUAUGUAUGAUUAAGGAUAUGUGUUUGUAUGGUUAAAGGUAUGUGAUUAAUAUGUGUCCAUGUUAUUACCUGAUACUAGUGUUAGUAGGGUGAAGAAGGGAGUUCAGUUCAGCUGUCUGCUCUCAGCAGCAUCUACAGUGAUUUGCUGUCACAUUAAAACAUGACGUUUUAUGUAACUAACAUGUAUACAUCUGUAAUAUAAAUAAACAAAUAUACGCGUGCUAAAAUGACAGACUAGUGUGUUCUUGUUAAACACACAAAGUGUAUUCAUGAUAUCACCACUUAUGCCUAGUGAUUUAUUUAACUUGACAGGAAUUAGAGAUAAUAGUAUGUGUGAUAUCAAAUAAAGAGUUGAUAUCCCACAAACAGUGUGCAUCCUGGUUUAGUGGAGGACAUCUAUAGCUUCAUCUCUGGUCAGAAGUUCACUG